GAAGAAGUGACUGAGUGGUUAAUAGUGGCAGACUGUAAAUCUGUUGGGUAAUCCUUCGUUGGUUCGAAUCCAACCUUCUUCA
rnacentral:tRNA from 2 species